ACUUACACGUUAUCCCAGAACUCCCAGCAAAGAAGGAUAAGCUUUUGCAAGCACAAAGUCUCCGGUUGUCAUUCCAGGGCUGCUGUGCCAUAGCUACAUUUAGAAAGUUGCAGGAGAAAAUAAACUGAUUAACAAGCAGCGAAACCUGCAAAUUAUGCCUCACUUAGGCUUAGAUUCAAGAAAACCCAGACCAAGCUUGGGAUUCUAAGAGUCUCUCCGUGCAAGCUGACCUCAUGGAGAAAGUGGCAGAGCUUGUCCCUUCCACUGGGAGACCCUGGAGUUCAUUCAGGAGACUGGAUGCCCCUGGGCUCGGGCUGCACUGUGGACCCCACUGUGGAAUCACCACUCCCAGGCUGACCUCAGGCAGGUUCCAGAUCUGUUCUCCACUUCUGCAACAAAACUUACCCGGGCCAUGGUUUUAUGCAGAAAUCUGACAAGGCAGGUCCAUCAAGAGGUUUCCAGAAGAAGGCAUCGCUAUCACAGGAGAUGGCAGCUCCAUGCCUGUUACUGCCCCUGAAGAUGUUCCAGUGGGACAGGGUGUGGAGGUGGAAGACAGCAACAGUGACGAUCCUGACCCUAAAUUGACCAGAUUGCUUUGAGGAACUAAGAAGCUGUUAAACCUUUGGAAGAACUGGCCUGAUACGUUGUCUACAUGGUUCUCCUACAAGGUGUAUGAGUCCAUUUUUAUGCUGCUGAUAAAGACAUACCUGCAACUAAGAGGAAAAAGUUGUUUAACUGGACUUACAGUUCCACAUGGCUGGGAAGGCCUCAGAAUCAUGGCAGGAGGCGAAAGGCACUUCUUACAUGGUGGCACCAAGGGAAAAUGAGGAUGAUGAAAAAGUGAAAACCCCUGAAAAAAUCAGAUUUUGUGAGACUUAUUCACUACCACGAGAACAGUCUGGGGGAAACCGCUCCCAUGAUUCAAAUUAUCUCCCACCCGGUCCCUGCCCCCGCAACCCCCCCACAACAUAUGAGAAUUACGGGAGUACAAUUCAAGAAGAUUUAGGUGGGGACACAAAGCCAAACCAUAUUACAAGGUUUAUAGCCUUGCAGUAAGUAAAGAAUACCAUUUUCUGACAAGCCCAGGAACUUCAGGAUAUUUUGGGGACCUCAAAAAAGAGGGAUUUACCCAAUUCAUACAAGUAUUACAGGCAAAAUCUGAUGGUGAAUUGCUGGCCUGGCUUCCAAUCUUAAGAGGCUUUUAAAGAUUGAACCUGAAAUUCCUUAUAAAAAAAGUUUCAGUCAAGUCAAUUUAAAAAGUGCUCAGAUGGCCAAGUACAAUUCUGGCUGUACUUUAGUCAAAUACUCAGGCCAAGUAUAACAAGUCUAAGACUUUAUUUUGCAAAUAAAUUGGUCCUACUGUAAACCAAAAAGUGUCUGAGACAAGUUUCAGUCCAUUUAGAAAGUUUAUUUUGCCAAGGUUAAGGACAUACCAGUGACACAGCCUCGGGAGAUCUUGACAACAUGUGCCUAAGGUGGUUGGGGCACAGCUUGGUUUUCUACAUUUUAGGGAGACAUGAGACUCAAUCAUUAUAUGCACGAUGUACAUUGGUUUGGUCCAGAAAAGAGGGACAACUUAAAACCAAAAGAGGGCUUCCAGGUCAGAGGUAGAUAAGAGACAAAUGGUUGCAUUCUUUUGAGUUUCUGAUUAGGCUUUCACUGAAUACACAAUUUACAGAAAUAGUCGCUUAUGCCUUAGUCUGGCUUAGUAAAGCAACAGAACAAAGGAAGCACUCAGAUGCGCGUGUCCCAUGUGAGCAGAGGGAUAACUUUGACAUCUGUUUGUGCUUUGUCUAAAGGAAUUUUUCUUCGUGGGAAAAUUGUAAGGGAGGUAUGUAGCUUUUCAAAAUUUUUGUAGCUAUCUUAUUUAGGAGUAGACUACAUAGACUGGGAAGCAGGUUUGCAUGACAAGUUUCCCAGCUUGAAUUUCCCUUUGGCGUAGUGAUUUUGGGGUCCCUAGAUUUAUUUUUCUUCCAUAUUUACUUUUUCUUUGCUUAAAUUUAUCUUUGCCUAAAUUAAUUGUGGGACGGGAAAGGGAAAAUUUAUGUUUCAGAAGAAAACUAUGGUACACUUAUUAGUUUCUAGCUCUGAUCUUUUUUUUUUUUUUCAGUUUUGCUAUUUGCCCACAAUUUAAACUAAAUCCUAUUUUUUUUUCUGGUUACAGGCUUUCAGACAAAUUUUUCUCCUAUUUUUUAAGCUCACUGAAAUUGAUAAUACCUUUUUACCGAGGCCUUGCAAGCUGAAGUUUAUGCAUAAAUAACCUUGUGACAUACAAAUUACAGAUCACAAAAUCUGUCAGAUCGCCAAUGCCUCCUUCCACAGUAACUAAAGAUGCCUCUAGUUGAACAGCUGGAUACCUCAACUGACUGCUCUCCAGACUCUAAAGAAAUCCGUUUAUAGACUGCUCCAAAUAUUAACCUUUGUUUUUCUGCUGUUUGGGAGCCCAUCUGCAACGCCAUUUCCUGAAAUGAGACACAGCUGUUUAAUUGGACUGGUCUACUCGUAGAAAUAGAACACCAGUUUAAUGAUAAUUUUUGCUACUCAGCUAUUAACUCAAAUAUUAUCUUCACACCCAACAACUUAGAUUUUAGUGUGUGAAACUUUGAGGGACAUUUUAGACAGAGGACUUUUGGGGUGCAGAAGUGGUUCCCUGAUAUAUGACACCUGGGCAUGGUGAGUGCUUUUAAACAUUAAAAGACCUCAUAAAUAAGCCUCAGAAUCAUGGUCCCCCUAAAACUGUCUUGGGGCAGGAAGGGACUCUCUCUCUGUAAUUUCCUUAUCUGACUAAGAAAUCUUCUUCCCAAAAAACCACAAUUGCCAU